rnacentral:misc_RNA from 1 species
UCCCCGUUUUCCGGGGCAGUCCCUGUAGAGUUCCCGGCAUGACCCGCUGGCAACUACAGGCAAGGGUUGCGCUCGUUGCGGGACUUAACCCAACAUCUCACGACACGAGCUGACGACAGCCAUGCACCACCUGUGAACCUGCCCCGAAGGGAAGACCUGUUUCCAGGCCGGUCAGGCACAUGUCAAGCCCAGGUAAGGUUCUUCGCGUUGCGUCAAAUUAAACCACAUGCUCCGCUGCUUGUGCGGGCCCCCGUCAAUUCCGUUGAGUUUUAGCCUUGCGGCCGUACUCCCCAGGCGGGGCACUUAAUGCGUUAGCUUCGGCACGGAGGGAGUCGACACCCCCCACACCUAGUGCCCAUCGUUUACGGCGUGGACUAC